rnacentral:tRNA from 1 species
UAGGCUAAUGUCCGAAGGUUUGGACGGCUAGUUGUUAACUAGUUUUUUGUGGGAUCGAGGCCCACUAGUCUA